rnacentral:rRNA from 1 species
AGGUGCUGCAUGGCUGUCGUCAGCUCGUGUCGUGAGAUGUUGGGUUAAGUCCCGCAACGAGCGCAACCCUUUGUCCUUAGUUGCCAGCAUUAAUUGGGCACUCUAAGGAGACUGCCGGUGUUAAACCGGAGGAAGGUGGGGAUGACGUCAAGUCCUCAUGGCCCUUAUGUCCAGGGCUACACACGUGCUACAAUGGGUGGUACAAAGAGCAGCUAACUCGCGAGAGUAUGCAAAUCUCAAAAAGCCAUCCUCAGUUCGGAUUGGAGUCUGCAACUCGACUCCAUGAAGCUGGAAUCGCUAGUAAUCGCGGAUCAGCAUGCCGCAGUCGAAUACGUUCCCGGGCCUU